UUUCUUCUUAUUUUUCCGCUUGUGUUCCUAACAUCAGUUUCCCCCCUCAAGAUGGCGCAUGUCAUAAAGUUCAAAUUUCUGCCACUGCUAUUGUGCUACUCUUUCUGGUUCUACAAUGCUGGAAUUUCAGAAUUUUCUCCAUUGCCGAAGUGCACUUCCACUUUUAACCAGAACAACCUUUUACAGCAGUGAUCCAGUUCAAAUUUUUCAUCAAUUAAAACAUAAUCUUCGCACUUGCUGAUGAUCAAUCUCCUGAAGGAAUAGCCUCUUCAUUACAGUGGCAUGCUGCUCUGGAGGACAUCCAAGACUAAAAUUUAGUGGUGGCUGUGGUGCACAUCCAGGAACAGACGCAGCAAAGUAAAAACACUUCAAUAACACCUUAAACCGGUCUGUUCUCUGUUCAUAUAUUUUGCCCAAACUCAUGGUAUUUGUUAAGCUUUUGGACCAACAAACCUGAAAAAAUUCAGUUUUGUAAAACGUGACAGAAAGGAUGCUCACGCGUUGCACCAGGCUGUGGGUGCGCACAAGGUGCAAUUGCGUGGAGCACACCGAGAUGGAUGUUCUGAGUUGUGCAGAUCACGCCUUUGGGUGUCUUGCAGAUUGUGUGGUGGUUUUUGACUGGUCUGCAUUUGUGGGGGUCUUGCGUCGCAUGGUUGAGGGUGAUCGGUUUGACUGCUUCUUUCACUGGUCUCCCGCAGGACAGGAUGGGUUGAUUACUCCUCUAAUCGACUCGCUAAAAAUUCAAACUUUGACAUGUUCUUUUCCCAGUGUUCAUUAUAUAUCUUCAAAAGAUUCUCAAAAAUGAACUGUAAUUCACCCAUAACGAUUGGCUUUGGUGCCAGUUUGUCACAGUCCCUAUCAAUGAAUCCAGUUAUGAGAUUUUGUUUAUAGUAUGGGUUCGUUAUGAGAGAACUAAUGAUCUCUUGAAUAAGAAAAGUACUCCAAACUUGAUAAAUUUUUCUUCAUCCAUAAUCUGUCCAUAAAGACAGCUUGGUAUUUUAAUACAAAGAUAACCAAUCAUGUUGUGAGUUAUUUCCCAAAAUUAUUAUAACUACUCAACUACCCAUAUUAUCUUAGCCUCACUCUUUUUUCCCUUCUCCUAUACACAUCCUACUAUAUAAUACAUAUACACAAAACAAAGAGCAGUUAUUCUGGAAGUUACUCUCCAGAACAGCAUAAAUUUUC
rnacentral:lncRNA from 1 species